rnacentral:lncRNA from 1 species
CGCCUUUCUCUCCUCCUCCUCCCCCUCCUCGGCCUCCUCCUCCCGGUUCAGCCUUUGUCGCGCGGCGGGGGGCGCCCGGCCCGCGGCUCCCCGGUCAGAGCGGUAGCACCGCGAGACUUGGGGCUGCGGACGGCGGGACCCCCAAGUUGGGCGCCGGCGACUGGCGGGGGCAGAGGGCCGGGCGCUCCCUCGGGCUCGCGCAGGUGCUCGGGCCUGGCCGGGCUGGGACCGCAGGCGCCUCUCCCGCGCUCGCCUAGCCCGGGCUGCCCCCGCACGCCCACGCCCCAGGUGUCCGGGCGCGCUUUACCCAGGGGCGCCGUGCCCAGGCCAGGAGGCCAGGGCGGAGCGGGUGAGGGAGAAGCCCAUUUAGAUUCAGAGGGAAGCCGGUCCUGGGAGACGGCCGCGAGGAACAAAGGCGCCCCAGUGCUGCCCACUUAGCAUGCCAGAGCCGCGCUGCUCGGCUCCCAGGCCGGGGACACGGCCCGGUGUUAAGCGGAGGGUGCCCGACCGCGGGAAUUCCUAAGGCCACGCGCACCUCCAAGGCCACCGCCGCACACAGCUUCGGAGUGCACAGUGCACACGCCCAGGCACAGGCAGCCGGCCCGAGAAAUUGUGAAUGUCUUGGCUUUGAGUUUAUCUGCGUAUCCUGGCGAAGUUUGGAUGCAGAGAACUUGGAGCUGUUGUUUUCUACCAGACACUAGGAUCCCUGAGAGAGCUUCCUACUUCUUGCACUGGUCCAUUGCAAUAAAAGACAGGCGACACGUGGACAACUGCUAGACACUUCCCAAGUCUGGAGUCGGCCGUGCUGUGGUUUUUGCCUCAUGCCUGACUGGACACUGAAAAAGAGGUGAAGAGAUGAGGCGAUAGAACAAAAGAACAGAAAGAUAAUGAAGCUGAGACUAACAUAAUUAUGUAUGCAGCCACAAAUGGAGCACAAAGCAAUUACUGCUUGUGGGAAUUUGAGAGAUGCUCUUUGAAGAGGUGUGAGGGAAUCAGUAAUACUUGCAGUGACUUUUAAGGAGGUGGAGUGUGCUGAUGAAGAUGCCACAAAGAACUGAUGGGAAGUUAUUCCUCUCCCCAACUGCUAUUGUAUCCUUCCUGUAGUGCUGUCUCUGCUUUUUGCAUCUUGCCCAGUAUAUUAUGACACAAAUAAAAAUUCUCUUUUCAUCAUCUUGCAACUUGUAAGAGGCCUGAGAGAAUUCUUGUGCAGGGCCCUUAGA